AAGGCACUAUCUCCCUCUUCACUUCAGAGAGCUCCAAUCCUGUUUCAGCUGCCAACUCAAAUGCUGCUUUCUACAUGAUAUACCUCCUGCAAUAAAGCUCUAAGAUGGAAGAAAGACUAUGAAAUAAAGAGGUGAUUUGCCUUGAUUUUUACAAAAAAUCUCCAAGGAAACCAAUUUUAUAUUUUACCAUGUGUACCCAUAAAAUUAGAAAAUAUUUAAUAAAUGAUAUUUUUAUGUAAUUCUACUAGGCAAGGAUGGAAUAAUGUCAUAGUUCUACUUGUGAGAGCGGGAAAUGGUGUAGACUUUUGAAAAUGGCCUUACCAACAAAAUGGGAAUGAAAUAAAUCUACCUCAUAAUAUGUUUGUUAAGUUUAAUUGAGAUAAUCCAUCUAAAAUAUCUGUUUCUGGCACAUGGUAAGUGUGCAAUAAUAUUGUUAGUCAUUAUUUUCAUUAAAAUGUGUUGUUUUCCUUAGAAUAUAUUCUAGAUGAUGGUUAUUAUUUUUAUGUGAAACAGUAUGUCUU
rnacentral:lncRNA from 10 species